CCUACGGGAGGCAGCAGUGGGGAAUAUUGCACAAUGGGGGAGACCCUGAUGCAGCGACGCCGCGUGAGUGAGGAAGUCUUUCUGUAUGGAAAGCUCUAUCAGCAGGGGAGAAAAUUACGGUACGUGACUAAUAAUCCCCGGCUAACUACGUUCCAGCAGCCGCGGUAAUACGUAGGGGGCAAGCGUUAUCCGGAUUUACUGGGUGUAAUGGGAGCGUAGACGGUUAAUCAAGUCAGAAGUGAAAACCCAGGGCUCAACCUUGGGACUGCUUUUGAAACUGAGGAGCUAGAGUGCAGGAGAGGUAAGCGGAAUUCCUAGUGUAGCGGUGAAAUGCGUAGAUAUUAGGAGGAACACCAGUGGCGAAGGCGGCUUACUGGACUGUAACUGACGUUGAGGCUCGAAAGCGUGGGGAGCAAACAGGAUUAGAUACCCUUGUAGUC
rnacentral:rRNA from 1 species